rnacentral:tRNA from 1 species
GCGGGUGGGGGGUUUAGAAUCCCGUGAGGCUCAUAAUCUCACUUAAGCCGGUGCGAAUCCGGCACCCGCUACCA